rnacentral:rRNA from 1 species
AUUGAACGCUGGCGGCAGGCUUAACACAUGCAAGUCGAGCGGGGGAAGGUAGCUUGCUACCGGACCUAGCGGCGGACGGGUGAGUAAUGCUUAGGAAUCUGCCUAUUAGUGGGGGACAACAUCUCGAAAGGGAUGCUAAUACCGCAUACGUCCUACGGGAGAAAGCAGGGGAUCUUCGGACCUUGCGCUAAUAGAUGAGCCUAAGUCGGAUUAGCUAGUUGGUGGGGUAAAGGCCUACCAAGGCGACGAUCUGUAGCGGGUCUGAGAGGAUGAUCCGCCACACUGGGACUGAGACACGGCCCAGACUCCUACGGGAGGCAGCAGUGGGGAAUAUUGGACAAUGGGGGGAACCCUGAUCCAGCCAUGCCGCGUGUGUGAAGAAGGCCUUAUGGUUGUAAAGCACUUUAAGCGAGGAGGAGGCUACUUUAGUUAAUACCUAGAGAUAGUGGACGUUACUCGCAGAAUAAGCACCGGCUAACUCUGUGCCAGCAGCCGCGGUAAUACAGAGGGUGCGAGCGUUAAUCGGAUUUACUGGGCGUAAAGCGUGCGUAGGCGGCUUAUUAAGUCGGAUGUGAAAUCCCCGAGCUUAACUUGGGAAUUGCAUUCGAUACUGGUGAGCUAGAGUAUGGGAGAGGAUGGUAGAAUUCCAGGUGUAGCGGUGAAAUGCGUAGAGAUCUGGAGGAAUACCGAUGGCGAGGGCAGCCAUCUGGCCUAAUACUGACGCUGAGGUACGAAAGCAUGGGGAGCAAACAGGAUUAGAUACCCUGGUAGUCCAUGCCGUAAACGAUGUCUACUAGCCGUUG